UACGGAGGGUGCAAGCGUUGUCCGGAUUUAUUGGGUUUAAAGGGUGCGUAGGCGGCCGUUUAAGUCUGGGGUGAAAGCCCGUUGCUCAACAACGGAACUGCCCUGGAAACUGGAUGGCUUGAGUACAGACGAGGGUGGCGGAAUGGAUGCUGUAGCGGUGAAAUGCAUAGAUAGCAUCCAGAACCCCCGAUUGCGAAGCAGCUGCCUAGACCUGAUAA
rnacentral:rRNA from 1 species